GGGAUUGCCUUAGUAACGGCGAGUGAAGCGGCAACAGCUCAAAUUUGAAAUCUGGCUCCUUCGGGGUCCGAAUUGUAAUUUGUAGAGAGUGCUUCGGGCGAGGCCUCGGUCUAAGUCCAUUGGAACAUGGUGUCAUAGAGGGUGAGAAUCCCGUAUGCGACCGUGGCUCGAGCCCAUGUGAAGCCUCUUCGACGAGUCGAGUUGUUUGGGAAUGCAGCUCAAAAUGGGUGGUAAAUUUCAUCUAAAGCUAAAUACUGGCUGGAGACCGAUAGCGCACAAGUAGAGUGAUCGAAAGAUGAAAAGCACUUUGGAAAGAGAGUCAAACAGUACGUGAAAUUGUUGAAAGGGAAGCGCUUGCAACCAGACCUGCCCGUAGGCGAUCAGCCGCUGUUUUCAGCGGUGCACUCGCUCUGCGAUCAGGCCAGCAUCGGUUUCGGCGGUCGGAUAAAGGCCUUGGGAAUGUAGCUCCCCUCCGGGGGAGUCUUAUAGCCCUUGGUGCAAUGCGGCCAGCCGGGACCGAGGACCGCGCUUCGGCUAGGAUGCUGGCGUAAUGGUUGUAAGCGACCCGUCUUGAAACACGGACCAAGGAGUCUAACAUCUAUGCGAGUGUUUGGGUGUCAAACCCAUGCGCGGAAUGAAAGUGAACGGAGGUGAGAACCCUUAAGGGCGCAUCAUCGACCGAUCCAGAUGUCUUCGGAUGGAUUUGAGUAUGAGCAUAGCUGUUGGGACCCGAAAGAUGGUGAACUAUGCCUGAAUAGGGUGAAGCCAGAGGAAACUCUGGUGGAGGCUCGCAGCGGUUCUGACGUGCAAAUCGAUCGUCAAAUUUGGGUAUAGGGGCGAAAGACUAAUCGAACUA
rnacentral:rRNA from 1 species